GCAGUCGGAUAGCUCGGUUGGUUUGAGCGUGGUGCUGAUAAUGCCAAGGCUGCAGGUUUGAUUCAUGUAAAGGAGAGCUGCA